UACGGUCAAAAUGACAUUGAAUCACCGGUUUCCGUGUGAUCACCCAAGUUAAGCAACAUUGAGCCUGGUCAGUAACGAGGUGGGUCUCCGCUUGGAAAUACAACAUGCUGUAU